CAGACAUAUAAAUACCUAAACUACAUUGUACUUACAAAUAGGAUGAUUGUGGGAGAGAGUUUGGUUCAAAUUGGCCUUGAAGUUUUAGAGGAGAAGAUUUAGUAAAAGUUCAUGAAAAAUGUAUGCCAAGUAGAGAAAAUUGCUGACUUGGCAUUUUGAUCUAGGUGAGAUUAAAUUUUGAUUCAUUGGAAUUAAAGAGAAUGUUUAUCAAAGGUUGAUAUAACAGCACCAAACCAAUUGAAAACUUCUUAAGG
rnacentral:lncRNA from 1 species